CACGUAGGGCGCGAGCGUUGUCCGGAAUUAUUGGGCGUAAAGAGCUCGUAGGCGGCCUGUUGCGUCCGCUGUGAAAGCCCGGGGCUUAACCCCGGGUCGCAGUGGAUACGGGCAGGCUAGAGGUAGGUAGGGGAGAAUGGAAUUCCCGGUGUAGCGGUGAAAUGCGCAGAUAUCGGGAGGAACACCUGAGGCGAAGGCGGGCUACUGGGCCGAUACUGACGCUGAUGCGCGAAAGCCAGGGGAGCAAACGGGG
rnacentral:rRNA from 1 species